GAUGGGGAAGCUCCGAGCUGCAAAAUAGCUUGCAGUGCCUCGGAGAGGUGGCGCUGGCUAGCCUGGGACUUCCAACAUACAGCCUACAUUGCUGGCCUGAGACUUGUGGCAAAAAAGACUUUCAAAAUCUAAUUUGCUCACAUACAUGAACACCUGCCAGGAAGGAAUUUGAGGCCUUUGGUCUAAACAUGGAAAAGCUGAGUUCAUUUGCCCCAGAGGGGGCACCUGCAGGGAAAAGGAAAAAUGGUUUUAACCCUUUCCUUGAGUCAGAAAAUGAGGCCACCAGAUUCUCCUUUCAUCCUUCAAGUAUCAGAAAGGUCUGUGCUGUGAAUUCCACAGAUGAGAUUCAUUGCAAGAUGUGAGGGCAGAGGAAAUCCAUGGAAAUGAGUUGGGUUUUCACCGUGUUGCCCAGGCUGGCCUCGAACUCCUAGGCUCAAGCAAUCCUCCCGCUUUGGCCUCUCAAAGUGCUGGCAUUACAAGUGUGAGCCACCACGCCCAGCUUUGUACUUUCUUAAUGAUGUGAAAAGACAUCUGAGUAAAUCUGUAGUUGAGAGUGCAGGAAAAAGAAACCCUAUCACACACUCUUUUGUCAACCGAAUUGCAGAAAUCCACAUUCAAACUGGAUGCAUGCGUUCAGCAACUGGAAGCUGAGUUCAUAUUUCAUUGCCCAACUACCCUGACCACUUGGGAAUCGCAGGUUUGGAAGGACCCACAGCCAUUCUGUGGAAAUGGAUCUGCUUUCAGGACCGAAUCUCAGACUUCUUGGGGAAGGCUUCAGUGGCUGCCUUUGCUGUACAGACCUGGAGAUGGGUCUGAUGAUCGGACACCUGAAUUAUCUGUGUGGCUGAGUUUCAAGAAGACCUGCUGGGGUGAAAUGAAAAUGGUGCCUACUGGAAGCCCCAGUGGCUUUGCUGGUGGAGUGACAUGGAUGAAGCUGGAAGCCAUCAUUCUCAGCAAACUAACACAAGGACAGAAAACCAAACACCGUGUGUUCUCACUCAUAGAUUUGCUCCUCCACUGUCUCUUCUUGUAGACACACGACUGCUACAGUAUCAAGGGUCUGAUGCAGACAUGACAAUGUCAAGAGGAAGAGGAGAGCCUCGCUCUUCCCAGGCUUUUGCUUUUAAGAGCAGAAAAACUUUCCCCAGAGUUCCACCAGCUCACUUCUCAUCUUACUUCUUUGGCCAGAACUGGCCCUUGUGCCCAUAUUGUCAGUCAAAUGCCGACAAAGGAAAGGGGCCACUAUGAGUGGUUUAGACUUGGAUUGGGUUUGUCCUUAUUGGAUUGUCCUUAAGUCCUUUGAAAAAGAAGUAUACAACAGAAUGAAAUCUUGACUCAGCUUUCAAGAAUAAAGAGGGUGAGAUG